rnacentral:rRNA from 1 species
UGGGGAAUAUUGCACAAUGGGCGCAAGCCUGAUGCAGCCAUGCCGCGUGUAUGAAGAAGGCCUUCGGGUUGUAAAGUACUUUCAGCAGUGAGGAAGGGGUGAUGUUUAAUAGACACCAUUCUUGACGUUAGCUGCAGAAGAAGCACCGGCUAACUCCGUGCCAGCAGCCGCGGUAAUACGGAGGGUGCGAGCGUUAAUCGGAAUUACUGGGCGUAAAGCGCAUGCAGGUGGUCUGUUAAGUCAGAUGUGAAAGCCCGAGGCUUAACCUCGGAAUAGCAUUUGAAACUGGCAGGCUAGAGUACUGUAGAGGGGGGUAGAAUUUCAGGUGUAGCGGUGAAAUGCGUAGAGAUCUGAAGGAAUACCAGUGGCGAAGGCGGCCCCCUGGACAGAUACUGACACUCAGAUGCGAAAGCGUGGGGAGCAAACAGG